rnacentral:lncRNA from 1 species
UAUACAUGUGUAUCUCUAUGGCUAUAUGUAAUUUAGGGUGUUAUUAUAUUUGUUGUUUGUAUGAGAGUGUAAUAAAAUGAUCCAUAUAUGUAUGGUGCUUUUGUUCACAUUCUAUUUCGUGUGUUGUUUAUUAGUUGUAUAAUUGUGUUGUGGAAGUGUUUUUGAUCUAGUAAUAUGAAGAAAAAAAAAAAAAAAAAAAAAAAAAAGACAUAG